UAAGUGUUCUCUGUUGGGGUGA
rnacentral:miRNA from 1 species